rnacentral:rRNA from 1 species
GACAGAGGGUGCAAACGUUGUUCGGAAUUACUGGGCGUAAAGCGUGUGUAGGCGGUCCACUAAGUCGGGUGUGAAAGCCCUGGGCUCAACCCAGGAAGUGCACUCGAAACUGGCGGGCUAGAGUAUCGGAGAGGUUGGUGGAAUUCUCGGUGUAGAGGUGAAAUUCGUAGAUAUCGAGAGGAACACCGAUGGCGAAGGCAGCUCUCUGGGACGGUACUGACGCUGAGACGCGAAAGCGUGGGGAGCGAACAGG